AGGACGAACGCUGGCGGCGUGCCUAACACAUGCAAGUCGAACGAGGUCCAUGUAGUGGCAACACUGCGGAAGACCUAGUGGCGAACGGGUGAGUAACACGUGAGGAACUUGCCCCGGAGACCGGGAUAAGCCCCCGAAAGGGGGUCUAAUACCGGAUGUCCUCACCGAGUCGCAUGGCUUGGUGAGGAAAUGGAUUCCGCUCCGGGAGAGCCUCGCGGCCUAUCAGCUAGUUGGUGGGGUAACGGCCCACCAAGGCGACGACGGGUA
rnacentral:rRNA from 1 species